CGCGGCGUUGCCACUGGCGACCUUCAUGAUUCUGGCGUCGGGGUGAGCUAGGAGGCGGGAGCUGGGCGUGCAAGAGGAGACCUCCGCGCGGCAGAGACGGUUGUAGAAUGCACGCUCCAAACCCCGCAGCCGGAUCAUUAUAAAGACGCCGCGUCCCCUCCCCGAGGGGCGGGCCCAGACGUUCAAAAGCAGCCAAUGAGAGGCCUGGAGCUCCAUUUUACAGAUGAGAGAAACUGAGGCCCGGAUGAAGAAGCGCUGGCUCUGGGUCGCCUAGAGAGCCUGGGCUUCUGGAUCCUGUUGGAAGACGACUUCUGGGACCCUGAUCUCGCGAAUGUUUGGUCCGAAAUUAAAGCGGGCCCUCCUUUCACACUCUGAA